rnacentral:misc_RNA from 1 species
UUAACUUAUUAUAAUAUUACUCAGACAAUACAAAAAUCAAGAGUUUAGGUCCUCUGGCAGACACGGACCAGCUUAAAGCCAGUAGUCAAAAGACAGGCCUGCCAAAGCAACAAAGGUAAUAUAAACAAAGGGUGGGAGAUCUACCCCAAAGGGCAAUUUCUCUGUAAUGAUCCUUCCGCAGGUUCACCUACGGAAA